rnacentral:rRNA from 1 species
AUUGAACGCUGGCGGAAUGCUUUACACAUGCAAGUCGAACGGCAGCACGGACUUCGGUCUGGUGGCGAGUGGCGAACGGGUGAGUAACAUAUCGGAACGUAUCCAAUAAUGGGGGAUAACUAAUCGAAAGGUUGGCUAAUACCGCAUACGUCCUACGGGAGAAAGCUAGGGACCUUCGGGCCUGGCGUUAAUGGAGCGGCCGAUAUCGGAUUAGCUAGUUGGUGAGGUAAAGGCUCACCAAGGCGACGAUCCGUAGCUGGUCUGAGAGGACGACCAGCCACACUGGAACUGGGACACGGUCCAGACUCCUUCGGGAGGCAGCAGUGGGGAAUUGUGGACAAUGGGCGCAAGACUGAUCCAGCCAUGCCGCGUGAGUGAAGAAGGCCUUCGGGUUGUAAAGCUCUUUCGCAAGGGAAGAAAACUUAGCCUCUAACAUAGGUUGAGGUUGACGGUACCUUGAUAAGAAGCACCGGCUAACUACGUGCCAGCCGCCGCCGUAACAC